UUGUUUUCUUAAUUAAUGCACUGUUAUAAUACCGUAAAUUUUGGAUAAUAAGCAGUCAAAUGAAAUGCAAGUGUGGAAACCUGCAUAAACAGUGGUGUGGUUUGGGUUAGUUGUUUUUAAUAAAAGAAGAAGAUAACUAGUUGUUUAUUUAUUUAUUUAUUUUUCAUUUAUUUUUUUUAAAAAGAAGAUGGUUCCCUGAAUUGUUCGCUGUUUCUUUUGUUUUUUCUAAUAUAUGGUGAUACUAACUUUAUAUUAUAAGAGUUGUUGGUGUAUACCAUUAUCUAAAUAUUUUUCUUAUGUCCAAUUGCUAAAAAAGUUUAGCAACCAAAUUUUGUUGGCUAUUGCAGUUUCCUAGUUUUUUUUAUUGCCUGGGAUAUCUGUAUUUAUUUAUUAUUUAUUAUUUUUAUUUAAUUAAUAUCAUAUAGAUCCAUCUAACUUCUCGUUUUAAUAUUUUUUUUAUAGCAAUAUAUAUUACAGUUUUAAUUUAAUUCAAUUAAUAGUCUUUACAUGUUUUUUUUAAUAACAAAUAAUAUAAUGAGUACUAUAAUAAAAGUUACUAUUCUGAAAUUAGUGCUUACGGGAAGCUAUUAAAACAAAUCAUGUGCUGCUAAACUAUUUAAAAGAAAUAUGGGUUUAUUUUUAAAUUUCAUUUUCCUUCUUUCUUUCUUUCUUUUUUUUAUUCAAAUUUUAUAAUAACGUUAAUAAUUAGUAAAUCAUUAAUUUCUCUUUUAACGUUAAAGGCUAGAAAAAUGUAAUAAAUUAUAAUAUCUAAUUAAUUAACUUAUAGACCAUUAAUAUUAAGAUUGUAUUAACCUAUAAAUAUUAACGAGGUCGUUAUUUUAAUCUAGGAUAAUUGCUCUUGUUUGUUCUCUUGGAUUGUUCCAAUCUUACUCGUGCGUACUUCCAAGAAAUCUCCAUACGCAACCAAAGUGAGUAUACUCGUAACCCCUUUUUAUGUUUACCACUUUUGGUGUGUAACAUGUUUAACUAUUAAACUACACUUAAACUUAUUCUUUUUGGAAUGCACAAAACAAUCCUUAUACAUGAAUACUAUGUUAUGAUACUUGAUGCUAACGUGGACCAUACUUAUGUGAUAUGUUUUAGUCAUUAGCUUUCACGAGCCUCCAUUUGACAUGUAUAGCGCUAUAGGAGUAACGCACCGCCCCCCUUAAACUUGAGGUCAUGUCAAAUUAACUAAACUUUCUUGCGUAAACAGAGGAUUGGCUAGAAAUAUUGCAUGACAUGUUAGGUUGAUCUCGUAUAAACUAAGUUGCCAUGUGGAUUCGUUUUAAACUUUUAUACUUAUACAUAUACAUAUGCUUAAACUUGUUGAUGAUUGAUGAUGCUAUGAAAAUGGAUAGCAAAGAUGCUUAGAUAUACAUUUAGACGUCUUAGGUCAAAUACGUUGUAUAAAUUUCAUAUUUGUUGUUGUAUUGUUUUCUUGUAUUUUUCAUGUAUUGUAACUUUUAUUUAUGAAUGAAAUCAAUU
rnacentral:lncRNA from 1 species